UUGGUGAGGAUAAACCAGCACUGUGUUUCUUUUCUUUCUUUCCCUUUUCAAAUAUUAUAUAAAUCCAGUGUGAACGAAAAAUAACCGAACAGCAAACAUGAACGAGUGCGACUUUCUUCCAACAAUAGUGGAAAUGGUCUCAGGAAUGCUAUUUCCAAAUUCUGGUUCGGAGUACGAUGAUGAUGAUAAGUGAGAGAAAGUGAAAAUUUUGUAGAUUUUUGAGAAUAAUUUUGUAAUCCUUUCAAUGAGCAAUAAAUCGAGUUAAAACACA